rnacentral:rRNA from 1 species
UGGUCUUGACAUAGUAAGAACUUUCCAGAGAUGGAUUGGUGCCUUCGGGAACUUACAUACAGGUGCUGCAUGGCUGUCGUCAGCUCGUGUCGUGAGAUGGUUGGGUUAAGUCCCGCAACGAGCGCAACCCUUUUCCUUAUUGCCAGCGGGUUAAGCCGGGAACUUUAAGGAUACUGCCAGUGACAAACUGGAGGAAGGCGGGGACGACGUCAAGUCAUCAUGGCCCUUACGACCAGGGCUACACACGUGCUACAAUGGUCGGUACAAAGGGUUGCUACCACGCGAGUGGAUGCUAAUCUCAAAAAGCCGAUCGUAGUCCGGAUUGGAGUCUGCAACUCGACUCCAUGAAGUCGGAAUCGCUAGUAAUCGCGGAUCAGAAUGCCGCGGUGAAUACGUUCCCGGGCCUUGUACACACCGCCCGUCACACCAUGGGAGUUUGUUGCACCAGAAGUAGGUAGUCUAACCUUAGGGGGGACGCUUACCACGGUGUGGCAGAUGACUGGGGUGAAGUCGUAACAAGGUAAGCGUAGAUGA